rnacentral:tRNA from 1 species
GGGGCUGUAGCUCAGCUGGGAGAGCGCAACGCUGGCAGCGUUGAGGUCGCAGGUUCGAUCCCUGUCAGCUCCACCA